AUACGGGGGGUGCAAGCGUUAAUCGGAAUUACUGGGCGUAAAGCGCGCGUAGGCGGUUUGCUCAGUCGGAUGUGAAAGCCCAGGGCUCAACCUUGGAACUGCAUACGAUACUGGCAAACUAGAGUGUGAGAGAGGAUAGUGGAAUUUCCGGUGUAGCGGUGAAAUGCGUAGAUAUCGGAAGGAACAUCAGUGGCGAAGGCGACUGUCUGGCUCAACACUGACGCUGAGGUGCGAAAGCGUGGGUAGCAAACAGAAUUAGAAACCCCAGUAGGCC
rnacentral:rRNA from 1 species